AGCAAGGAGACUCAGCACUGAACAGAGCUGUUUCACUGACAAAAGAUAGGACACUGGUUAAGUCACGGUUUGAGAUCUGAGGGCUGAAUGUGAAGUAAGGUCUCAUCUGAGCCAUCAGCUGACGUGGGCUGGUACUGGGAUCAGCUGGUCUGCCAGGACUGGCUAAGCUUGACUCUGUGGCCCACCAGAAAUAACUGCUCCAUCAAGUACAUGUCAUCGUUCUAAAGACCGGAUGAUUGCAGAACUGCAACUAAACACAGCAAGCUGACUAGACUUCCAAAUUUUCAGAAGCGAGCGACACGAUUUAGGAAUCACGUGGUCGUUGUCAGACACCAGAACAAUUUCUUCGCACCUGCUUCUGUCUGUGUUAGUCAGAGUGGGCUCUGACUUUUGACCUUUCUGGAGAGUACACACAAUUCUAGUUGAGAUGAGCCAUGAUCCGCACCACCAUAAUGACUAACAGGGUCAUCAGCUGUAGGAGGUGACCUGUAUGUCACACUAGGACACCUGCUGUCUUUAUAAAGUGACAGAGGUAAUCAGUACUUGUAGUUUAGUGGUGCGAAGGGGCUUUUUCUGUGGCUUCUUCAUCACUACACUUGCAGCAGCCAGGAAAGCACAGCUCUUCACUGGAGAGGUGUUAGGUUUCUCUGAGGUGACCUGAGGAUGAAUCUGCCUGUGCUGUGUUUGCUGCUCCUUUGUAUUUUUUCAGAUACUCAGCAGGUGGUUUUGGACAAAUCCGGGCCAUCAAGCACUUCUUCUCCUAGAUGGCUUUCAUAUCGGACAGAAAAGGGACAUCACAUGGUCCGAAACCUCAAAAGGCAUUCAGAUGGAACAUUCACCAGUGAUUUCACACACUAUCUUGAUAAGAUUAAGGCUAAAGACUUUGUGGAGUGGCUGACCGGCCCCAAACAAGAAGGAUGUUGUGAAGCUCUGCUCGACAUUGCGGCAGAAGUAUGAGACCACCGGGAUAAAACAUGUUCCCGUCACUGCGUUACAUCAUCUAGCAGCAUUAAAAAGAGGACAAUGACUCUGCAUUAAACAACAAUGUUGGUAUCCUAAGAUAAAAUGGACUUUCUGCAUUUUUAUUUUUUUUUAAACAAAUAAUCAGGACAUUUAACAUUUUAUCUCAGCUUAGUUAUUUUAAAAUAUUCAAAGUAUUUUCUGUGAAAUGUAAAGAUCAUUUACAGCAUUACAGUUUUUAAAUCUGAAUCUGUUUUAUUUAUUUAUGUAUUUAUUUCCCAUAAGGAAAUGGGGAGAAAAGGAUGCGUUCGUGGUUUGUUUCGUUCUGCUUUCUUAAACAAAUCUCUGCAGUGUGAAUAAACCGAGAUGCCAAAUGAAAAGGGAAAAAAACUUGAAUUUGGGAUCUUUUCCA